rnacentral:lncRNA from 1 species
GGCGGAUUCAGGGGGGGGCGUAGAGGGCGUACGCCCCCCCUUUGCUCGGACUUUUUUUUUUUUUUUUGUAAAAUUAUUUUAUCAGACUAGAUUUCGUGAACUUUGCCAUUUCCCGAGUAUUUAAUUUUUAUACGACAAUUCUUUACUUAAUAUAAAGAUAUUUUUCGGUGGUAUUUACUGAUUGUCAAAGUCAUGUGAUUUGCUAUGGUGGAGUUGACCAGUGCGUUGAAAAAACGGCACACGACGGUCAUUUUGAAAUUAAAAUUACAGUAAUAAACAUUGCUUAGGCUGAGGAUGUCAUGACAAUCAGGAAACCUUCAAAGCAACACAGGAUUGAGCAAGAACGUAUUGACUUCUAUUUCACUAUUCCACCAAACAGAAAGUAAUAGUAAAUACUCUAUAGACUAUUGCACCCUCAAGAAAAAGAAAUUCCACAAUAUUAUUUACCUACGAAAACAUGUUUAACCCCAAAUGCACCAGCUUAUUUUAUAAAUAACAAAUUGAAUAAAGAACCCCUGUCACCCCGCCUCAUUUUUGCGCUUGUUCCAAGUCAGGAGCCUCUAGACUUUGUAAGUCUUGUAUUAUUUUAUUUUUAGUUUCUUGUGUACAAUUUGGAAAUUAG